UUGAGCGCUGGCGGCAGGCCUAACACAUGCAAGUCGAGCGGAUGACGGGAGCUUGCUCCUUGAUUCAGCGGCGGACGGGUGAGUAAUGCCUAGGAAUCUGCCUGGUAGUGGGGGACAACGUUUCGAAAGGAACGCUAAUACCGCAUACGUCCUACGGGAGAAAGCAGGGGACCUUCGGGCCUUGCGCUAUCAGAUGAGCCUAGGUCGGAUUAGCUAGUUGGUGGGGUAAUGGCUCACCAAGGCGACGAUCCGUAACUGGUCUGAGAGGAUGACCAGUCACCCUGGAACUGAGACACGGGACAGACUCCUACGGGAGGCAGCAGUGGGGAAUAUUGGACAAUGGGCGAAAGCCUGAUCCAGCCAUGCCGCGUGUGUGAAGAAGGUCUUCGGAUUGUAAAGCACUUUAAGUUGGGAGGAAGGGCAGUAAGUUAAUACCUUGCUGUUUUGACGUUACCGACAGAAUAAGCACCGGCUAACUCUGUGCCAGCCGCCGCCGUAACAC
rnacentral:rRNA from 1 species